rfam:Nicotiana sylvestris Nsyl_contig289912, whole genome shotgun sequence.
GCGCCUGUAGCUCAGUGGUUAGAGCGCUUGUUUCCUAAGCUGAAGGUCGCAGGUUUGACCCUCACCUGGUGUG